AUGCAAAGUAGGCAGGGGAGAUACCUUGAUCAGGAAGGUGGUUUUCCCAGGGCCAGGUUAGCCUUUGCACUCAGGGUGUGUUGCCCCCUGCGGAUUUCCCCAAAUGCUGGGAAACUCCACUGCUUAAUUUGUGGUAGUGGGGGCUGGGUUCACGGUCUCCCC